CCAGACUCCUACGGGAGGCAGCAGUGAGGAAUAUUGGUCAAUGGACGAGAGUCUGAACCAGCCAAGUAGCGUGAAGGAUGACUGCCCUAUGGGUUGUAAACUUCUUUUAUAUGGGAAUAAAAUGUUCCACGUGUGGGAUUUUGUAUGUACCAUAUGAAUAAGGAUCGGCUAACUCCGUGCCAGCAGCCGCGGUAAUACGGAGGAUCCGAGCGUUAUCCGGAUUUAUUGGGUUUAAAGGGAGCGUAGGUGGAUUGUUAAGUCAGUUUUGAAAGUUGGCGGCUCAACCGGAAAAUUGCAGUUGAAACUGGCAGUCUUAAGUACAGUAAAGGUAGGCGGAAUUCGUGGGGUAGCGGGGAAAUGCUUAGAUAUCACGAAGAACUCCGAUUGCGAAGGCAGCUUACUAAACUGCCACUGACAUUGAUGCUCGAAAGUGUGGGUAUCAAACAGGAUUAGAUACCCCUGUA
rnacentral:rRNA from 1 species